UCCUACGGGAGGCAGCAGUGAGGAAUAUUGGUCAAUGGGCGCGAGCCUGAACCAGCCAAGUCGCGUGAGGGAAGACGGUCCUAGGGAUUGUAAACCUCUUUUGUCGGGGAGCAAAAGACGCCACGCGUGGCGUUCCGAGAGUACCCGAAGAAGAAGCAUCGGCUAACUCCGUGCCAGCAGCCGCGGUAAUACGGAGGAUGCGAGCGUUAUCCGGAUUUAUUGGGUUUAAAGGGUGCGCAGGCGGAGGUGCAAGUCAGCGGUCAAAUUGCGGGGCUCAACCCCGCACUGCCGUUGAAACUGCAUCC
rnacentral:rRNA from 1 species